rnacentral:misc_RNA from 1 species
GAAAUGCGAUAAUUAAUGUGAAUUGCAGAAUUCAGUGAAUCAUCGAGUCUUUGAACGCACAUUGCGCCCCCUGGUAUUCCGGGGGGCAUGCCUGUCCGAGCGUCAUUGCUGCCCUCAAGCACGGCUUGUGUGUUGGGCUUCCGUCCCUGGCAACGGGGACGGGCCCAAAAGGCAGUGGCGGCACCAUGUCUGGUCCUCGAGCGUAUGGGGCUUUGUCACCCGCUCCCGUAGGUCCAGCUGGCAGCUAGCCUCGCAACCAAUCUUUUUAACCAGGUUGACUCGGAUCAGGUAGGGAUACCCGCUGAACUUAAGC